CCAAGUUCAGUGAACCUAACACACUGUUCAUUCAGCCAUUGAAACCCAGCAGAGGAGCAGGCAGGGAAGGGAGGGUGGAAGGACAGAGGCUCCCCUUUCUUCUGGGCUUGGUUCCGGAGGAGGCCAAAAGAGAGUUUACCAGGGAAGCAAUUUGAAGGCAAAAGUCCACUCUAAAGUGAAGAUUCCUCCAGAAGCCGUCCACGGAGACCACGAUCAGGAAGCCUGGGCCGGACUUUCUCCCCUACUGUGAUGACGAUCCCAGUAUUUACUGCCACCAGUAUUGAUCAAAGGUACCAGAUCUCCUGUCAAGAGACAUUGUACUGAAUGGAAGAACUUCUUGAUAUUCUCCUAAUAAAGGAUACAAAGUCUUCCCGGAUAACCUGGAUGGUGAAAACUGUUCCUUCAUGGAAUGUCACCAUGUGGCACAAUCAUACUUCACUUGAGCCAUAGAAAAUUCAAACACUCCCAAAACAACUAGUACACCAUGGAGAGAGAAAAUCUAAUGGCUUCAUGUUAUAGUUUGAAUUUGAAAUGCUCCCCACAGGUUCAUGUAUUUAAUUUGGUGAUACCAUUUGGGAAUACUGUGUGACAUGUAGGGGUCACACCUUGAUGGGAGAAGUGCAUCACGAGGGGCGGGCCUUGAGAAGCCUAGUCCACUUCCUGUUUACUCUACAUGUUUCACAACUAUGUAUGCCAUGUGACCAGCUGUCCUCUGGCUCCAGCUGCCACUCCCUCCAUGUUGUGAUGGAAAACAGUCCCUUGAACUAUAAAAGAGAAUAAACAGCCAAGUCCCAACUCACCAAAAUCUGUUAUCAGUAAUGACUUGCCCUAUAAAAAUUUCUGAAGGAAAACUGGAAGGUGUCAUGGAGUGCGGAACAAAGGCACAUGAAGAACUGAUGGCUUCCCAGGACUUCUGUCACGAUGGGGUGGCCUGGAACAAGAGAAAUAUAUUGCCACUCUGUUCUGGAGCCUGGAAGUCCUGAGUUGAAAUGUCAGCAGAGCCAUACUCCACAGAAGAUUCUAGUAACAAAUUCUUCUAGCCCCUGGCCUCCUCUACGCUGGUCUGUAGCCUCUGGGGUCCCAGGUUUGUAAUUAUGGAGCCUGGUUUCUGCCUCUGUCUCCAGGACACAUUGUGCGGGUAUCACUCCAUAGGGCAUUCUUUUCUUUAAAACUUAUAACUUUUAUUCAGGAU
rnacentral:lncRNA from 1 species